CUCGGGAUGAAGGAGCUUGGCGAGCGAGUUGACCUGAUCGAUAUCUAUACGAAUACGCUGGAAGGCGUGCGAGAGCGCAUCCUGGAGGAGGCCGUCCCGUGGCUA
rnacentral:misc_RNA from 1 species